GCCCCUGUAGCUCAAUGGAUAGAGCACCUGCCUUCUAAGCAGAUGGCUGUGGGUUCGAAUCCCGCCGGGGGCG
rnacentral:tRNA from 1 species